UAAACCUCGGGCAACUGACAUACACGCCAAUUUUAUGUCGAAGGUGAAAGGUAUGAUAGCUAACGCUUUCUCGCCAGUCACCGUCUCGGCGUUCGCUUAACUGAACGUCCAUCCGACCCAACGACGUCCGAUAGUUGGGAGCCGGGUGUUAUUUAUCGGGCUGGAUUCGCACGCCUUUCCUUAGUGCGGAUCGACUUGGCUAGGAAAUAGGAGUGUCAGGUUUGGUUUGACUAACAUUGUCACUCCGAAAUUUUAAGUCGAACUACAUCGGUAGAUGUAUCGCGCGAUAAUUCACCAGACGGGAGUUCAAAUCUCCCCAUCUCCACCA
rnacentral:tmRNA from 1 species